rnacentral:rRNA from 1 species
GAUGAACGCUGGCGGCGUGCCUAAUACAUGCAAGGCGAGCGAACGGACGAGAAGCUUGCUUCUCUGCUGUUAGCGGCGGACGGGUGGGUAACACGUGGAUAACCUACCUAUAAGACUGGGAUAACUUCGGGAAACCGGAGCUAAUACCGGAUAAUAUUUUGAACCGCAUGGUUCAAAAGUGAAAGACGGUCUUGCUGUCACUUAUAGAUGGAUCCGCGCUGCAUUAGCUAGUUGGUAAGGUAACGGCUUACCAAGGCAACGAUGCAUAGCCGACCUGAGAGGGUGAUCGGCCACACUGGAACUGAGACGCGGUCCAGACUCCUACGGGAGGCAGCAGUAGGGAAUCUUCCGCAGUGGGCGAAAGCCUGACGGAGCCACGCCGCGUGAGUGAUGAAGGUCUUCGGAUCGUAAAACUAGGUUAUCUGGGACGAACAUAUGUGUAAGUAACUGCGCACACCUUGACGGUCCCUACGCAGACAGCCCCGGCUAAACACGUG